AGGUGUGAUCAUACCAAUAUUAAUGUACCGGAUCUCAUCAGAACUUCGCAGUUAAACGUGCUUGGGCGAAAAUAGUACCAAGAUUCGUGACCUCCUGAAAAGUCCUUAUGUUGCACCUC
rnacentral:rRNA from 2 species